UCCGGGUUGUAAAGCACUUUCCAGUCGUGAGGAAGGUAGUGUUAGUUAUUAGCUGCGAUUAUUUGACGGUAGCGACAGAAGAAGCAACCGGCUUACUUCCGUGCCAGCAAGCCGCGGUAAUACGGAGGGUGCGAGCGGUUAAUCUGGAAUUACUGGGCGUAAAGCGCAUGCAGGUGGUUUGUUAAGUCAGAUGUGAAAGCCCGGGGCUCAACCUUGGAAUAGCAUUUGAAACUGGCAGACUAGAGUACUGUAGAGGGGGGGUAGAAUUUCAGGUGUAGCGGUGAAAUGCGUAGAGAUUGAAGGAAUACCGGUGGCGAAGGCGGCCCCCUGGACAGAUACUGACACUCAGAUGCGAAAGCGUGGGGAGCAAACAGGAUUAGAUACCCUGGUAGUUCACGCCGUAAACGAUGUUUACUUGGAGGUUGUGGCCUUGAACCGUGGCUUUUGGAGCUAACGCGUUAAGUAGACCGCCUGGGGAGUACGGUUGCAAGAUUAAAACUCAAAUGAAUUGACGGGGGCCCGCACAAGCGGUGGAGCAUGUGGUUUAAUUUGAUGCAACGCGAAGAACCUUACCUACUUUUGACAUCCAGAGAACUUUCCAGAGAUGGAUUGGUGCCUUUGGGAACUUUGAGACAGGUGCUGCAUGGCUGUUGUCAGCUUGUGUUGUGAAAUGUUGGGUUAAGUCCCGCAACGAGCGCAACCCUUAUCCUUGUUUGCCAGCGAGUAAUGUCGGGAACUCCAGGGAGACUGCCGGUGAUAAACCGGAGGAAGGUGGGGACGACGUCAAGUCAUCAUGGCCCUUACGAGUAGGGCUACACACGUGCUACAAUGGCGCAUACAGAGGGCGGCCAACUUGCGAAAGUGAGCGAAUCCCAAAAAGUGCGUCGUAGUCCGGAUUGGAGUCUGCAACUCGACUCCAUGAAGUCGGAAUCGCUAGUAAUCGUGGAUCAGAAUGCCACGGUGAAUACGUUCCCGGGCCUUGUACACACCGCCCGUCACACCAUGGGAGUGGGCUGCAAAAGAAGUAGGUAGUUUAACCUUCGGGGGGACGCUACCACUUUGG
rnacentral:rRNA from 1 species